rnacentral:rRNA from 1 species
AUAUUGGACAAUGGUCGCAAGCCUGAUCCAGCAAUGCCGCGUGUGUGAAGAAGGCCCUCGGGUUGUAAAGCACUUUUAUCAGGAGCGAAAUCUGCAAGGUUAUUAUCUUUGCAGUCUGACGGUACCUGAGGAAUAAGCACCUGCUCACUCCGUGCCAGCAGCCGCGGUAAUACGGAGGGUGCAAGCGUUAAUCGGACUUACUGGGCGUAAAGCGUGCGUAGGCGGUUCGUUAAGUCUGCUGUGAAAGCCCCGGGCUCAACCUGGGAAUGGCAGUGGAUACUGGCGAGCUAGAGUGUGAUAGAGGAUGGUGGAAUUCCCGGUGUAGCGGUGAAAUGCGUAGAGAUCGGGAGGAACAUCAGUGGCGAAGGCGGCCAUCUGGAUCAACACUGACGCUGAGGCACGAAAGCGUGGGGAGCAAACAG